rnacentral:rRNA from 2 species
GCGUGGGAACGUACCCUUUGGUUCGGAAUAACUCAGGGAAACUUGAGCUAAUACCGGAUACGCCCUUUUGGGGAAAGAUUUAUUGCCGAAGGAUCGGCCCGCGUCUGAUUAGCUAGUUGGUGGGGUAAUGGCCCACCAAGGCGACGAUCAGUAGCUGGUCUGAGAGGAUGAUCAGCCACAUUGGGACUGAGACACGGCCCAAACUCCUACGGGAGGCAGCAGUGGGGAAUAUUGGACAAUGGGCGCAAGCCUGAUCCAGCCAUGCCGCGUGAGUGAUGAAGGCCUUAGGGUUGUAAAGCU